GCCGAGAUAGCUCAGUUGGUAGAGCAGAGGACUGAAAAUCCUCGUGUGGUCGGUUCGAUUCCGACUCUCGGCACCA
rnacentral:tRNA from 1 species